CUUAUUUAAAAAAAUAUAGGGUAUUACAACUUACUCUCGAGAUAUUUUCAUCACAUAACACUAACAGUUACUUGGUUAAAUUACCAACAUUAAGCAUCUAAGUUGAUUGAGCACAAGAUGUAGUAGCAUACUUCAACAUAUUUACAACAUGUGCAGAAGGCACAAGUAUAUUGUCUGGUAAAACCAUCUUCAAGCAUUAGACAUAUAAUACCCCAAAAUAUAAGUACAGUUUGUAUCUUUUAAGUAACCCAUCCUCAGCAAUGAGCUGGAGCUAAAUUCCAAGCUUAAUAGUCAUUUUUCUGCAGUCCAAAAACCACAACAUAGGGAGAUUUUGAUGUACCCUGAAAUAGCAGAUAUACACCAGUCAAUUAAGGAAACUGGAGUUGAGAUAAGCACAACGAUAAAGUCAAAGCUCAGAGCAAGAUCCUUACAGACAUCCGCAGGUAUCUUGAAAAUAAGUUCCUUCAAAAGAGUGUUAGUUUAUAUUCAAAACAGUAGUGCAUAUAUAGAGUUGGUGAAAUUGAGAAAACAUAUAUCUAAAACAUUGCCAUUUGCAUAAGUCUGCCUAGAGAUUGUCAAAGUAGCACAGUUGACAUUUGUGGAGGUUAAUUCUAUACUUCUUGCAGGUACAUGCAAUAAUAGAGACAAAAUCUUAGUAGUUGAUGAGCUGGUAUUUGAGGAGACAGCGAGCAAAAGCAGCCUUGAAUUCCUGUGUUCACUAAAACUAAUGUUAGUACUUUAGCUCAUACUGCAUGCACAUUCUUUACAAUGGAAAUUGAGAGGAAAUAUAUCAAAAUUUAAUAGGUCUAUACUCCAGAUAAAAGUGCAUAUAAAGUUGCUAUUCCUAGAAAAUCAGAUAUAUAUCAACUUAUCCAAAGGGUAUACAAUGAGAAUAAUUUCAGCAGUAUGUACAAGUUCUAUAGGAGAGCCAAAAUUGGCCAAAAAGAAUGUGGAGUGCUUGCUAGAUGAACGAUCUCUAGAAGUUAUAAAUUUCCACCUGCAGAUCUUGGUUUCUAGAGACAUUCUUCUUUUUCUUUUGUUCUAUUUUUAUCAUUCUAUUCGAUCAUAUAAAGUUCAUCAAAAUUGCUCAAAAAUUCAUUUCAACAUAUUUUUCUCCUAAGUUAUAUCCAAUGUGAGUGAAAAAAACUCUACCUAAGAGACUGAGUAUUUUGUUUAAAAAACUGCAGAAACAAUAUAUUACAUACCCAGCUACGGAUAUAGGAAUUAAAGGAGAAAACUUUGGCUAUACAUCUAGUACCAUAAAUGAUGUUUACAUGGUUCCAGUUAAGAAAGACCAACUGAUUUACCCAUAUAAACUUAAUGAGCAGCAGAAAGUAGUUGAAAGUACAAGUACUUAUUAAAUGAAAUUACUAGGAACA
rnacentral:lncRNA from 1 species